rnacentral:rRNA from 1 species
ACGAACGCUGGCGGCGUGCUUAACACAUGCAAGUCGAGCGGUAAGGCCCUUUCGGGGGUACGACGAGCGGCGAACGGGUGAGUAACACGUGGGUGACCUGCCCUCAGCUCUGGGAUAAGCCGUGGGAAACCGGGUCUAAUACUGGAUAUGACUCCAUGACGCAUGUUGUGGGGUGGAAAGCCUUGUGCGGCUGAGGAUGGGCCCGCGGCCUAUCAGCUUGUUGGUGGGGUGANGGCCUACCAAGGCGACGACGGGUAGCCGGCCUGAGAGGCGACCGGCC